CACGAACCGUACGAACGUUAUUCGGAAUUACUGGGCUUAAAGGGUUUGUAGGCGGCCUUGUAAGUCAGGGGUGAAAUCCCGGGGCUCAACCUCGGAACUGCCUUUGAUACUGGGUAUCUUGAGUAUGGAAGAGGUAAGUGGAAUUGCGAGUGUAGAGGUGAAAUUCGUAGAUAUUCGCAGGAACACCAGUGGCGAAGGCGGCUUACUGGUCCAUUACUGACGCUGAGGUGCGAAAGCGUGGGGAGCAAACAGG
rnacentral:rRNA from 1 species